GAUGACGAGGCACUACGGUGCUGAAGCAACAAAUGCCCUGCUUCCAGGAAAAGCCUCUAAGCAUCAGGUAACAUCAAAUCGUACCCCAAACCGACACAGGUGGUCAGGUAGAGAAUACCAAGGCGCUUGAGAGAACUCGGGUGAAGGAACUAGGCAAAAUGGUGCCGUAACUUCGGGAGAAGGCACGCUGACACGUAGGUGAAGUGAUUUACUCAUGGAGCUGAAGUCAGUCGAAGAUACCAGCUGGCUGCAACUGUUUAUUAAAAACACAGCACUGUGCAAACACGAAAGUGGACGUAUACGGUGUGACGCCUGCCCGGUGCCGGAAGGUUAAUUGAUGGGGUCAGCGCAAGCGAAGCUCCUGAUCGAAGCCCCGGUAAACGGCGGCCGUAACUAUAACGGUCCUAAGGUAGCGAAAUUCCUUGUCGGGUAAGUUCCGACCUGCACGAAUGGCGUAAUGAUGGCCAGGCUGUCUCCACCCGAGACUCAGUGAAAUUGAACUCGCUGUGAAGAUGCAGUGUACCCGCGGCAAGACGGAAAGACCCCGUGAACCUUUACUAUAGCUUGACACUGAACAUUGAGCCUUGAUGUGUAGGAUAGGUGGGAGGCUUUGAAGUGUGGACGCCAGUCUGCAUGGAGCCGACCUUGAAAUACCACCCUUUAAUGUUUGAUGUUCUAACGUGGACCCGUAAUCCGGGUUGCGGACAGUGUCUGGUGGGUAGUUUGACUGGGGCGGUCUCCUCCUAAAGAGUAACGGAGGAGCACGAAGGUUGGCUAAUCCUGGUCGGACAUCAGGAGGUUAGUGCAAUGGCAUAAGCCAGCUUGACUGCGAGCGUGACGGCGCGAGCAGGUGCGAAAGCAGGUCAUAGUGAUCCGGUGGUUCUGAAUGGAAGGGCCAUCGCUCAACGGAUAAAAGGUACUCCGGGGAUAACAGGCUGAUACCGCCCAAGAGUUCAUAUCGACGGCGGUGUUUGGCACCUCGAUGUCGGCUCAUCACAUCCUGGGGCUGAAGUAGGUCCCAAGGGUAUGGCUGUUCGCCAUUUAAAGUGGUACGCGAGCUGGGUUUAGAACGUCGUGAGACAGUUCGGUCCCUAUCUGCCGUGGGCGCUGGAGAACUGAGGGGGGCUGCUCCUAGUACGAGAGGACCGGAGUGGACGCAUCACUGGUGUUCGGGUUGUCAUGCCAAUGGCACUGCCCGGUAGCUAAAUGCGGAAGAGAUAAGUGCUGAAAGCAUCUAAGCACGAAACUUGCCCCGAGAUGAGUUCUCCCUGAGACUUAGAGUCUCCUGAAGGAACGUUGAAGACGACGACGUUGAUAGGCCGGGUGUGUAAGCGCAGCGAUGCGUUGAGCUAACCGGUACUAAUGAACCGUGAGGCUUAACCUUACAACGCCGAAG
rnacentral:rRNA from 1 species